rnacentral:rRNA from 1 species
AAGUCUGACGCAGCCAUGCCGCGUGAAGGAUGACGGCCCUACGCGUUGUAAACUUCUUUUAUAUACCAAGAAACUCGUCCGACGUGUCCGAAGCUGACGGUAGUAUAUGAAUAAGCACCGGCUAACUCCGUGCCAGCAGCCGCGGUAAUACGGAGGGUGCACGCGUUAUCCGGAUUUAUUGGGUUUAAAGGGUCCGUAGGCGGAUCAUUAAGUCAGUGGUGAAAUCCGACAGCUCAACUGUCGAACUGCCAUUGAUACUGGUGAUCUUGAGUACGGUUGAAGUAGGCGGAAUAUGACAUGUAGCGGAGGAAAUGCUUAGAUAUG